rnacentral:tRNA from 87 species
GCCCCCGUAGCUCAGGGGAUAGAGCAACGGCCUCCGGAGCCGUGUGCGCAGGUUCGAAUCCUGCCGGGGGCACCC